GGUUCCUUUAUUUACCAUACCCGAAGAAAGUACUGCCUCUGACAAUGAGGAGUUUCACUCACCCAAUGCCACCAGGUUGCUGUAGGUCUCCAGCAUCACAUUCCUGUACAAAGUCCUCUGACCAUCAUCAAGGUCCUGCCACUCCUCCCAUGUGAAGUCCACAGCAACAUCCUCAAAGUACACUAGCCCCUAAGACUUAUUCAUUUUUUGUUGCUCUUGGAAAUGCAAAUAGCACUCUGGCAGCACAGCUGAAAGACAAAGAAAAUGGAGUGAAUUAAGAAGAGAACUGGUGUGACUUGAUCUUGGAUUCUCCUUACCAAAACACUGCCAAUUAGCUGGAAACAAGAACCACCACCACCAGCAACACAACAGACCUUUCUCCCUAUUGGACGAUAGUCCUUUAUGCCUCAAAAAGAGGCAGCAAGUAACUAAGUGAAGAUGCAUCUACAAAUACAUUAAUUGACAAAAAGCAGACAAUUUAAUUUGGGGCUAGU